GGUUUGUCACCGGCAGUCCCAUUAGAGUGCUCAACUGAAUGUAGCAACUAAUGGCAAGGGUUGCGCUCGUUGCGGGACUUAACCCAACAUCUCACGGCACGAGCUGACGACAGCCAUGCAGCACCUGAACCGGCAGUCCCCGAAGGCGACCCCCUUUCAGGAGCUUGCAGGGUCAUGUCAAGCCUGGGUAAGGUUCUGCGCGUUGCGUCGAAUUAAACCACACGCUCCGCUGCUUGUGCGGGCCCCCGUCAAUUCCUUUGAGUUUUAAGCUUGCGCUCGUAGUUCCCAGGCGGGCCACUUCCCGCGUUAGCUAAGGCCCCCAGCGACGGAGAUUCCGCCACCAAAGGCCGAGUGGCCAUCGUUUACGGCGUGGACUAC
rnacentral:misc_RNA from 1 species